rnacentral:rRNA from 1 species
UUGGGUUGUAAACCCCUUUUCUCAGGGAAGAAGAAAGUGACGGUACCUGAGGAAUCAGCCUCGGCUAACUCCGUGCCAGCAGCCGCGGUAAUACGGAGGAGGCAAGCGUUAUCCGGAAUGAUUGGGCGUAAAGCGUCCGCAGGUGGCUGGUCAAGUCUGCUGUUAAAUCCAGUAGCUUAACUACUGAGGGGCAGUGGAAACUGACGAGCUAGAGUGCGGUAGGGGCAGAGGGAAUUCCUGGUGUAGCGGUGAAAUGCGUAGAGAUCAGGAAGAACACCGGUGGCGAAAGCGCUCUGCUGGGCCGCAACUGACACUCAGGGACGAAAGCUAGGGGAGCGAAUGGGAUUAGAUACCCCAGUAGUCCUAGCUGUAAACGAUGGAGACUAGGUGUUGCCUGUAUCGACCCGGGCAGUGCCGUAGCUAACGCGUUAAGUCUCCCGCCUGGGGAGUACGCACGCAAGUGUGAAACUCAAAGGAAUUGACGGGGGCCCGCACAAGCGGUGGAGUAUGUGGUUUAAUUCGAUGCAACGCGAAGAACCUUACCAGGGCUUGACAUGUCCGGAACUCUGGGGAAACUCGGAGGUGCCUUCGGGAGCCGGAACACAGGUGGUGCAUGGCUGUCGUCAGCUCGUGUCGUGAGAUGUUGGGUUAAGUCCCGCAACGAGCGCAACCCUCGUUCUUAGUUGCCAGCAUUAAGUUGGGCACUCUAGGGAGACUGCCGGUGACAAACCGGAGGAAGGUGGGGAUGACGUCAAGUCAUCAUGCCCCUUACGUCCUGGGCGACACACGUACUACAAUGGGAAGGACAAAGGGCAGCCAACUUGCGAAAGAGAGCUAAUCCCAGAAACCUUUCCUCAGUUCAGAUUGCAGGCUGCAACUCGCCUGCAUGAAGGAGGAAUCGCUAGUAAUCGCAGGUCAGCAUACUGCGGUGAAUCCGUUCCCGGGCCUUGUACACACCGCCCGUCACACCAUGGAAGUUAACCAUGCCCGAAGUCAUUACUCUAACCCUUAUGGGAGGGGAAUGCCGAAGGCAGGG